CCUACGGGUGGCAGCAGUCGAGAAUCAUUCACAAUGGGGGAAACCCUGAUGGUGCGACGCCGCGUGGGGGAAUGAAGGUCUUCGGGGUGUAAAGAUCUGUCAGUGGGGACGAAACCUGACGGUACCCACAGAGGAAGCACCGGCUAACUCCGUGCCAGCAGCCGCGGUAAUACGGGGGGUGCAAGCGUUGUCCGGAAUCAUUGGGCGUAAAGAGUUCGUAGGUGGCACGUUAAGUCUGGUGUUAAAGGCGGAAGCUCAACUUCCGUAGGGCACUGGAUACUGGCGAGCUUGAAUGCGGUAGAGGUAAAGGGAAUUCCUGGUGUAGCGGUGAAAUGCGUAGAUAUCAGGAGGAACAUCGGUGGCGUAAGCGCUUUACUGGGCCGUAAUUGACACUGAGGAACGAAAGCCGGGGUAGCAAAUGGGAUUAGAUACCCUUGUAGUC
rnacentral:rRNA from 1 species